rnacentral:rRNA from 1 species
AGAGUUUGAUCAUGGCUCAGGAUGAACGCUAGCUACAGGCUUAACACAUGCAAGUCGAGGGGAAACGACAUCGAAAGCUUGCUUUUGAUGGGCGUCGACCGGCGCACGGGUGAGUAACGCGUAUCCAACCUGCCCAUCACUUGGGGAUAACCUUGCGAAAGUAAGACUAAUACCCAAUGACGUCUCUAGAAGACAUCUGAAAGAGAUUAAAGAUUUAUCGGUGAUGGAUGGGGAUGCGUCUGAUUAGCUUGUUGGCGGGGUAACGGCCACCAAGGCGACGAUCAGUAGGGGUUCUGAGAGGAAGGUCCCCCACAUUGGAACUGAGACACGGUCCAAACUCCUGGAGGCA